rfam:Brassica oleracea var. oleracea cultivar TO1000 chromosome C1, whole genome shotgun sequence
GGAAUAUAAAAACACGUUUCUUAACUUUUAACUAAAAAAACUAAGAACCGUCUCUUAAACUCUUAUUUAAGAGCCGACUCUUAGCUUUUUUAGUUAAAAGUUAAAAGUCAGGUUUUUAUAUUCC